rnacentral:rRNA from 1 species
GUGUAGGCGGGUAUAUAAGUCAGAAGUGAAAUCCUAUAGCUUAACUAUAGAACUGCUUUUGAAACUGUAUACCUAGAAUGUGGGAGAGGUAGAUGGAAUUUCUGGUGUAGGGGUAAAAUCCGUAGAGAUCAGAAGGAAUACCGAUUGCGAAGGCGAUCUACUGGAACAUUAUUGACGCUGAGACGCGAAAGCGUGGGGAGCAAACAGGAUUAGAUACCCUGGUAGUCCACGCCCUAAACGAUGUACACUAGUUGUUGUGAGGCUCGACCUUGCAGUAAUGCAGUUAACACAUUAAGUGUACCGCCUGGGGAGUACGGUCGCAAGAUUAAAACUCAAAGGAAUAGACGGGGACCCGCACAAGCGGUGGAGCAUGUGGUUUAAUUCGACGAUACACGAAGAACCUUACCUGGACUUGACAUAGUAAGAACUUUCUAGAGAUAGAUUGGUGUCUGCUUGCAGAAACUUAUAUACAGGUGCUGCACGGCUGUCGUCAGCUCGUGUCGUGAGAUGUUGGGUUAAGUCCCGCAACGAGCGCAACCCUCUUCAUUAGUUGCUAACAGUUCGGCUGAGAACUCUAAUGAGACUGCCUACGCAAGUAGGAGGAAGGUGAGGACGACGUCAAGUCAUCAUGGCCCUUACGUCCAGGGCUACACACGUGCUACAAUGGGGUAUACAAAGAGCAGCAAUACGGUGACGUGGAGCAAAUCUCAAAAAUAUCUCCCAGUUCGGAUUGUAGUCUGCAACUCGACUACAUGAAGUUGGAAUCGCUAGUAAUCGUAGAUCAGCUAUGCUACGGUGAAUACGUUCCCGGGUCUUGUACUCACCGCCCGUCACACCAUGGGAGUUGAACUCAUCGAAGCGGGGAUGCUAA